CAGGGAGCCCUUGGGGACCAAGACAUCUUCAUUUAUGUUGAGGUCCCCAUAUAUGGCCUUGAAGACAGGUUUCAGGACCCAAAUCUGGAAGACACCAUCAUGGAUGUUGACCAGGAAGCCCUUGUUAUCCAAUAUAUCCCUAUGGAUGUUGAGGU